AUUGCCCUAGUAACGGCGAGUGAAGCGGCAACAGCUCAAAUUUGAAAUCUGGCCCCCGGGUCCGAGUUGUAAUUUGUAGAGGAUGCUUUUGGUGCGGUACCUUCCGAGUGCCCUGGAACGGGACGCCAUAGAGGGUGAGAGCCCCGUCUGGUUGGACGCCAAUCCUUUGUAAAGCUCCUUCAACGAGUCGAGUAGUUUGGGAAUGCUGCUCUAAAUGGGAGGUAUAUGUCUUCUAAAGCUAAAUAUUGGCCAGAGACCGAUAGCGCACAAGUAGAGUGAUCGAAAGAUGAAAAGCACUUUGAAAAGAGAGUUAAAAAGUACGUGAAAUUGUUGAAAGGGAAGCGCUCAUGACCAGACUUGGGCUUGGUUGAUCAUCCAGGGUUCUCCCUGGUGCACUCUUCCGGCCCAGGCCAGCAUCAGUUCGCUGUGGGGGAUAAAGGCUUCGGGAAUGUGGCUCCCUCGGGAGUGUUAUAGCCCGUCGUGUAAUACCCUGUGGUGGACUGAGGUUCGCGCAUUCGCAAGGAUGCUGGCGUAAUGGUCAUCAGCGACCCGUCUUGAAACACGGACCAAGGAGUCGUCUUCGUAUGCGAGUGUUCGGGUGUCAAACCCCUACGCGUAAUGAAAGUGAACGCAGGUGAGAGCUUCGGCGCAUCAUCGACCGAUCCUGAUGUUCUCGGAUGGAUUUGAGUAAGAGCAUACGGGGCCGGACCCGAAAGAAGGUGAACUAUGCCUGUAUAGGGUGAAGCCAGAGGAAACUCUGGUGGAGGCUCGCAGCGGUUCUGACGUGCAAAUCGAUCGUCAAAUAUGGGCAUGGGGGCGAAAGACUAAU
rnacentral:rRNA from 1 species